GGGGAGGUGGCUCAGUGGUAGAGUGCUUGCCUUGCAUGCAUGAGGCCCUGAGGUUCAAUUCUUCAACACCACA
rfam:Dipodomys ordii contig_46975, whole genome shotgun sequence.